GUGGGGAAUUUUGGACAAUGGGCGAAAGCCUGAUCCAGCCAUGCCGCGUGCAGGAUGAAGGCCUUCGGGUUGUAAACUGCUUUUGUACGGAACGAAAAGACUCCUUCUAAUAAAGGGGGUCCAUGACGGUACCGUAAGAAUAAGCACCGGCUAACUACGUGCCAGCAGCCGCGGUAAUACGUAGGGUGCAAGCGUUAAUCGGAAUUACUGGGCGUAAAGCGUGCGCAGGCGGUUAUAUAAGACAGAUGUGAAAUCCCCGGGCUCAACCUGGGAACUGCAUUUGUGACUGUAUAGCUAGAGUACGGUAGAGGGGGAGGGAAUUCCGCGUGUAGCAGUGAAAUGCGUAGAUAUGCGGAGGAACACCGAUGGCGAAGGCAAUCCCCUGGACCUGUACUGACGCUCAUGCACGAAAGCGUGGGGAGCAAACAGGAUUAGAUACCCUAGUAGUCC
rnacentral:rRNA from 1 species